rnacentral:snoRNA from 14 species
UUUCCUCUUAGAACACUUGCUGGGUCUGAUCUGUGGCCUGGGAAGCCGUCAGAGAAGGGCAGAGCAAUCCAUUAGCACUGUUGGUGAGAUGGCAGCUGGAUGUGUUGUUGGUCUCAAUCAGGUUGUCGUGGGGACA